GACAUUUUUUUUUUUUGCUUUAAAUAAAAAUCUCAUUAUGUUUUUUUUCUUUUUGUCGUCUUUUGGUGUCCCAAUUAUCAUGACACCCGACGCAAUUUAUGCCCCUUUUGCCCCUCCCUCUCGGCGGCCCUGUUUCAAGAGACUGUGCUACAAUAAAGAAAGAUUUUGAAUUUCUUUAAGAUCAAAAACGAGACAGAAAAAUCUGUGUCAGUGCUUGCGUUGAUAAAAAGUCAGAGGCCAGAAUUGAGAGGAGAAUUGACAGAUACACUAGGCACGAAGAGCUGAGGAAGAAAGCUGAAACAGAUCGGUUGGUUCCUAAUGAUGCAGGAAGAACAAGCAAUAAAGAUCAGAACUAUAUCAGUGAAGAAGAUGAACCACCUCUUAAAAAAUGUAAAGGAAGAUUAGCCUUAGAUUGAUCCUGCCAAGUUCUACCCUGAUAGAGAAGAUUAUUGCCCUUACUUUAGCAAUGAAUUUGGCUGAUAAACUUGAUAUAUCUAAAUUAAGACACAGAUCUGAUCCCUCAGCCUUAGAAGUAAACAAAGAAAUCACUAGAGAUGGUUUGAUUGCUGCAACCAAACCUACAUGCAUGAGAGAUAGUAUCAGUAUAAGAGAUCAAACUCUGUUAAUCUUUAGCAUUCUAAAUUAUUUUGAAGGAGAUAUCAAAGAAUUAAAAAUAAGCACAGAGUCGAUCAGAAGAGACAUAUACAAACUAAUCCAUUCUGAAGGUAGCGAUUAUACUGUUUUAAUAUUUUUGUUUUUAAACUGUAAUGAUAUAGUAAUCUGUUUUAGACUGCUGAUUAAUAAAGUUAUUAAAUAUAAAGUUAAAAAAUCUGUUUAGGUUGUAAAACCCGUAAUGAGUAUAUGGAAACAAUGAAGAAAAAGAAAAGAAAAAAAUUAGACACGUUACUUUUAUUUUUUAAGCAAGUUAUGGAUCUACGUGAAAAUUAAUUUUAUUAUUUUUUUCACAGGUUUUGAAGGAAGCACUGUUUAGUUGGCGGUAAAUUAUUUUUUUCUUAUGCUGCCAAGUUUAUUUAGCUCGUUUUCAAUCCUUAAGUGUUUCGUCCUGCCCAGUACCAUCCUAUAUUUCCAGACAGUAAGGAUAUAAUGGUCCCGCACUGGUCCUGCGUAGGCUACCAGAACUGGACCAGCUGCGGCUGCUGACGUUGGCAAAGCUCUGUUUUGCUUUAAAGAUUUUUCAUAAACCAGGCGUGGCUAGCCAGUGAUGACGAAACAAUGGCUAUCCACUGCAGGACAAGAACUGGCAGAUGUUAUUUUUUUUAGAAAAGGAUGUACUACAAUAUUUUGUUUAAAAACGACGUUUUGCUUAAGAACUGAUAAAGUU